GAUCCUGGCUCAGGACGAACGCUGGCGGCGUGCUUAACACAUGCAAGUCGAACGAGAAUCUAAUGACGGAGUUUUCGGACAACUGAUUUAGAGGACAGUGGCGGACUGGUGAGUAACGCGUGAGGAACCUGCCUUUCAGAGGGGGACGAACAGUUGGAAACGACUGCUAAUACCGCAUGAUGCAUUUUGAUCGCAUGGUCGAAAUGCCAAAGAUUUAUCG
rnacentral:rRNA from 1 species